rnacentral:rRNA from 1 species
AACGUAGGAGACAAACGUUAUCCGGAGUUACUGGGCGUAAAGGGCGUGUAGGUGGUUUCGUAAGUCUGGCGUGAAAUUUUUCGGCUUAACCGGGAAAGGUCGUCGGAUACUGCGGAACUAGGGGACGGUAGAGGCGUGUGGAAUUCCGGGUGUAGUGGUGAAAUGCGUAGAGAUCCGGAGGAACACCAGUGGCGAAGGCGACACGCUGGGCCGUACCUGACACUGAUGCGCGACAGCAUGGGGAGCAAACAGG